GCGCUGAGCCAGCCAGAGCCAGGACGGACAUGCGCGGGAGGGCGCCCUGGGGCAGCCGCUGCUCCUCCCGGGGAAUGAAAGCUACUGGUUGAUUUAAAAAUCCCUGGACCUCACAAGUUUGGAGACAUCCCAGAAUAAGGCACAAUGUCAACAGCAGGAGUUGCCGCUCAGGAAAUUAGAGUUCCACUAAAAACUGGAUUUCUACAUAAUGGCCAAGCCAUGGGCAACGUGAAGACCUGCUGGGGUAGUCGCAGUGAGUUUAAAAACAACUUUUUAAAUAUUGACCCCAUAACCACAGCCUACAGUCUGAACUCUCCUGCUCAGGAGCACCUAGCAUCCUUCGGGCAUACUUCAAAAUCUGUUCUGAUGAAUGGCCACUACUUUGCAGAAAAUGGUCCAUCUCAAAAGUCCAGCUUGCUCCCUCUCAUUAUUCCCCCCAGUGAAAACUUGGGACAACAUGAAGAGGAUCAAAUUGUCUGUGGUUUUAAGAAACUCUCAGUGAAUGGGGUUUGUACGUCUACUCCUUCACUUACACCCAUAAAAAACUCCCCUUCACUUUUCCCCAGUACAACACUUUGUGAACGGGGUUCUAGGCCCCUUCCACCAUUGCCAAUCUCUGAAGACCUCUCUCUGGAUGAGACAGACUGUGAGGUAGAAUUCCUAACUAGCUCAGAUACAGACUUCCUUUUAGAAGACUAUACGCUUUCUGAUUUCAAAUACGAUGUUCCUGGCAGGCAAAGCUUCUGUGGGUGUGGACAGAUCAACUAUGCAUAUUUUGAUACCCCAGCUGUUUCUGCAGCAGAUCUCAACUGUGCAUCUGACCAAAAUGGGGGUGUCCCAAGUCCAAAUCCUCCUCCGCCUCAAACUCACCGAAGAUUAAGAAGGUCUCAUUCAGGACCAGCCGGAUCCUUUAACAAACCAGCCAUAAGGAUAUCCAGCUACAUACACAGAGCUUCUCCUAACUCUGAUGAAGACAAACCUGAGGUUCCCCCCAGGGUUCCCAUACCUCCUAGGCCAGUAAAGCCAGAUUAUAGAAGGUGGUCAGCAGAAGUUACGUCUAGCACCUAUAGCGAUGAAGACAGGCCUCCCAAAGUACUGCCAAGAGAACCUUUAUCCCAAAGUAACUCCCGCACACCAAGUCCUAAAAGCCUUCCGUCUUACCUCAAUGGGGUCAUGCCCCCGACACAGAGCUUUGCCCCUGAUCCCAAGUACGUCAGCAGCAAAGCUCUGCAAAGAUAGAACAGCGAGGGAUCUGCCAAUAAGGUUCCUUGCAUUCUGCCCAUUAUUGAAAAUGGGAAGAAGGUUAGUUCAACACAUUAUUACCUGCUACCUGAGAGACUGCCGUACCUGGACAAAUAUGAAAAAUUUUUUAGGGAAGCAGAAGAAACACAUGCAAGCACCCAAAUCCAGGCGUUACCUGCUGACUGCAGUAUGGUUUCAGCCACAGAAAAGCUGGACUCAAAAACAAAGAUGGAUCUGGGUGGCCAUGUGAAGCGUAAACACUUGUCCUACGUGGUUUCUCCUUAGACUUGGGGGUUGUGGUUCAGCAGGUUAUAUAGGAGCAAAUGGUUCUCAAUUUUCCAGUUUGAUUGAGGUUCACAGAAAAAUCUUUCAGACUGCAAAGUAAAAUAGUUGAACUCUCUUGUCUUAAUGAGAAAAAUUUAGAGCAGUUGAGAGAUGCUGUUAUGCCGAGAAUCCCUGAUUUUGUUAGCGAUAGAGAAAAGUCUAUUCAAGUCUAUAAUUUAAAGAUGUGAUGGUGGGAGGGAAGGACGGGGGAACUUUUUAUAUAUGCAUACAUUAUAUACCUAUAUAUAA